CUUGGCAUGUCCUGAUCGUCCUCUCAGCCGUGGACGCUGACUGUUGCACCAACAGAGGGAGCUGUUCCGGGAGAAGUACCGCGCACAGUCAAUGACAGUAUUCACGCAAAGUUCCCGUGAAUUAUAUCAUUGCGAGCCUUUAUUCACCUAGACUGGUUUGGGAACAAUGUAAAGUCCGUGAAUUGGCACUUGGAUUUUGAAAAUGUCAAAAUCGUAAUCAUCAUCGCACAGAGCGGGAAGAGACCACUCGGCCGUUUGCUCCAAUAUUUAACAAGAUUUUUUUGCCAGGAUACUGACUCACCAGCCGUUGGAGCUUCCAGAGACAGGUGUGAUUUUACUACAAUCAAUGGAAGCACCUUGACUGAACACGGGUCUCCAAAACCAGAACUGUGGCGACCCACUUCCUGCGCAGGCGAACCGGCUCACAAAUAGCCAGCGCGCUGGGGGAGACGUUGGUGAUGCACGUCUGAUGUCAUUUCCACCCGGAGAGGGUGGGCGCUAGGGAUUAGAUG